GCGAGAGUGGCGGAACUGGCAGACGCACUGGCCUUAGGAGCCAGCGGUGAGAACCGUAGGGGUUCGAGUCCCCUCUCUCGCACCA
rnacentral:tRNA from 1 species